UGUCUAAGUACAUGCCAAAACAAGGCGAAACCGCGAAUGGCUCAUUAAAUCAGUUAUGGUUCCUUAGAUUGUUUCUCCCUACUUGGAUAACUGGUCGGUGCUGACGCAAUGUGAUUCCUGCCCAGUGCUGUGAAUGUCAACGUGAAGAGAUUCAUCAAAGCGCGGGUAAACGGCGGGACUAACUAUGACUCCCUUGUUUCUUUAACUAUGACUCUCUUUUGAGACACAAAGUCGGUUGGGUU
rnacentral:ncRNA from 1 species